rnacentral:rRNA from 1 species
GACGUAGGUGGCGAACGUUAUCCGGAAUUAUUGGGCGUAAAGGGUGCGUAGGCGGUUUGGUAAGUCUUGUGUGAAAUCUACAGGCUCAACUUGUAGUCUGCACGAGAAACUGCCGGGCUUGAGUAUGGGAGAGGUGAGUGGAAUUCCUGGUGUAGCGGUGAAAUGCGUAGAUAUCAGGAGGAACACCUGUGGCGAAAGCGGCUCACUGGACCAUAACUGACGCUGAUGCACGAAAGCUAGGGGAGCAAACAGG